GGAUGAAGUCAUAACAAAAGGAUAUGAUUUUAACAAUUGGGUGCAUUAUGAGAUCAGUUUCUUUUCUAAAGAGGUUAGUGGCAAUAAGAUCUUGUAGACCAUAGGGCAGAUGGAUAUUGGUUGUUUAUGGAUCUUGAUGUGGGAAUAAAGUGGUGAGCAGUUAAGAUUUGGCAGAAGUUUGCAUUUCCAGCAUGGAGGGAAGUCUAUUCUACAUAAUAAUGUAGAUAGCCAGUUUUGUAGUCUAGGUAUGGGAUCAUUUGAAAGAAGUUUUGCACCUGUAGUCAUUAUAUGGUCAGAUAACAUAUCUUAUUGGAUAGCUUGCAUGAGAAUCAAUCUUCUUGGUUUUGUCCUUCCACAUGCAUAUUAUGUUAUUGUCUUUCAACCACAGUUUAGUAUGUUCCAAUUUAAGAUGGAUUCUUUUUUGCUCUUUGUUCUAGAUGUUUUCCUAAGAUUGUUGUAUAUGGUGACAUAAGUUGAUCUUAAAUGAUGUCUGUCAUCUGAAUGUGUAUGUGUCAAUAGAGAUUCUAUAUUUGGUGCUAUAUCUAUGAAUUCAACAACAUGCUUAGUAACUACACAUAUUGGUAUCAUCGAUGGUAAUCAAUUCUACAGGUAAACUAGGGAUGUCUCUGUGGGUGGACCUGUGGCUGGUGUUGUGGCUGAGCUAGUUGUGGGACAAUGAGAGCGGCAAGUGUCUUCUAUGCUGUAUACUGGUCUCAAAUUCCUGGGGGGGUGUGUGGAUGAUUUGUUUAUUAUUUGCAGUGGCUCCAAAGAUGUGGGGUGCAUCAUGAAAUAUUUUAGAAAUGACACAUUUGGCUUGGAUGUUGGGUUGGCUCAGCUGCCAACGUCCACAGUCGGCGGUCAGUUGCCAGUCUCCAUUUUUUGGAUGUCAAUGUCACUAUGGUUGAUGGAAGGUUCUCAACAUUGUUAUAUAGAGGGGAAACUUGUAUACCAG
rnacentral:lncRNA from 1 species